UGGGACAGCGAUCUCCCCGUGAAGCGACUUGCCCAAGUAUCGC
rnacentral:ncRNA from 1 species